GCUCGAGUGGCGAACGGGUGAGUAACACGUGAGUAACCUGCCCUUGACUUUGGGAUAACUUCAGGAAACUGGGGCUAAUACCGGAUAGGAGCUCCUGCUGCAUGGUGGGGGUUGGAAAGUUUCGGCGGUUGGGGAUGGACUCGCGGCUAUCAGCUUGUUGGUGGGGUAGUGGCUACCAAGGCGUGACGGGUAGCCGGCCUGAGAGGGUGACCGGCCACAUUGGGACUGAGAUACGGCCCAG
rnacentral:rRNA from 1 species